CCUUCCACUAGAGAAGUUAAAGGUGUGGCUGCUGUGUCACAUGUGUGUCAAUAGGUGGCAGAGAGGAGAGAGGCUAUGCCUAUGCUUAGUGUUCUGACCUAUGAACAUCUGAAUGAUUAGCCUAACAUU